UGUAAUUCUACAUAAGUUGAAAGGGAUGU
rnacentral:piRNA from 1 species